GCCUCUCCUACACGAAGCUCCGAUGCAGCUCCUCACCUGGAAGCGGCCCCUGCCCCGGCCUCGACGGCUGAUCCAUUGUGUGGUCGCUCAACGGUGCUCUAGAGUUGCUGCAGAUGCCUGCGUGUAGUCUCUCGCCGCCAGGCUAUGCCCCAGCCGGGUCGCGAAAUCAAUCGUUGGAGAGGUGCCUGCGGCCGCCGUCAUCGACCAGCGCGACAUUCUGGUGAGCAAGACCGUGUGUCGCCGUCCGUCUCCGUGAUGUUGCGAAAGCUGAUGGUGGCCGAGGAGGCCGUCUCUUCUUCCCUGCUCGGCUGGUGGCACAGAGGAGGACAUCCGUAUCGUAUUCUCCAUCCCGAGAUGGAUGCUGGGGCUUCGCCUUCGCCAUCCGCCUCCGCGACGCCGCGGCAGCGAAGAUGCUCAAGGCAGAGCUAUUGCCGGAAAAAGUCAAGGUCCCAGCGGCCUCGGCGCACGGGAGCCUUGCAGGUGACAUGAGGCACAGGUAUGCUGCCUGACUGCUCCCUCCUCCCGGUUUUCUCUCUGUGGCAUCCUCUCCCUCUCUCGCUCUCAUCAAACAGCGGGUGCAGCGAGGACAUAUACAGCCGCAUUGACCACGGUCCGACGAUGAGAGCGGAGCGGCCGAUGCGGAUGAAGACGGCCCGAUGAUGAGAGCGGAGCGGCCGACGAGGAUGGAGACAGUCGCGACGCACUGUUCGAUUUCACUGUUUCUUAGGCUUUCUUUUUCUGUUCGUGUUUUCGGUGUAAAUAUGGGGAUUUUCUUUUCGGUGAACACGGAAUUUUCGGAUCUGAUGACGAGGUCAUCCCCACCGGACCUCCACCCUGCUGGCCGAACUCCCACCUUCCCGACGGUCGUGGCCUGAGUCGGUUACUCCUCCGAAUGCCUUCCCGCCGCGCCCCUGUUCUGGCUUCUCUGCCACGAUUCCUCGCCAUAAGUUGUCUUGCCCCUGAAGCGGUGGCUGUGGCAGGUGGGCGCGGCGUCAUAUCAGCGCGUCGAGAGGUCAGCCAGGUGGCCAUUGUCGUCCGUGCUAAUCUGCGAAGGAAACGGCGACGGUCCGUCACUGGCUGCAGCGGAGGUGGACACGGCGAAGGCCAGAGGUUCUUCCCUCGCGUCUGUCUGUUGCAGACGCUGGAUGGCUGCCAUCGGUCGCGCAAAACCUCUGAAAUCCCCUUGUCUGGUCGCUGAGGAGUAGGCUGCAACUGCCUCGGCAAACGACGCCACUGUCGCGUGGCGCCGGGAGCCAGCGUGGACAUGCAGAGCUUCCUGUGUAUUUUAGAGCUUUAGAGAUCAACAAGAAGCUCAGGGCUAAAAACACUCAAGACAUCUACUGUAUGCCUGUUGAGAGAUCUACUUUGCUUCUUUUGCAUAGCAGGUUUCUGUUGCUGUCGUUGUCAUAAAGAAUUGCUAGAGCAGAGGUACCUUCAACGGUCACCGCCCACAGAGAUCGAAAGAUCCGGAGGCCUCCGAAGAUUGAAUGCGCUCCCAAGAAAGCAACCGAUAUAAGCAGUGCGUCCCGUGCAGAAUGGAGGAAGUCAAAGUUGAAGAGAAAAAACAAAUAAUUGAGGAAAAUCAGACAUAGUUGUUGAAUGACAAUGAAGAUGUAACUAUAUUGAAAGAGGAUAUGAAAUGGGUUAAUUGUCAAAUGACAAAGAAGAUGAUUAGCUCGAGGGCAUGGCUUCCCCGACAGCUGCAGCACCGCCCAGGGCCGACAACAAGCAAAGGUAAGUUAUUUAUGGAAUUAUAGUUUUGUUCUCCAUAUUGAGUUGAUUCAUACAGU